UGGGGAAUCUUGCGCAAUGGGCGAAAGCCUGACUCAGCCAUGCCGCGUGAAUGAUGAAGGUCUUAGGAUUGUAAAAUUCUUUCACCGGGGACGAUAAUUACGGUACCCGUAGAAGAAGCCCCGGCUAACUUCGUGCCAGCAGCCUCGGUAAUACGAAGGGGGCUAGCGUUGCUCGGAAUUACUGGGCGUAAAGUGAGCGUAGGCGGACAUUUAAGCCAGGUGUUAAAUCCCGGGCCUCAACCUCGGAAUUGCCUUUGAUACUGGGUGUCUUGAGUGUGAGAGAGGUAUGUGGAACUCCGAGUGUAGAGGUGAGAUUCGUAGAUAUUCGGAAGAACACCAGUGGCGAAGGCGACAUAAUGGCUCAUUACUGACGCUGAGGAACGAAAGCGUGGGAAGCAAACA
rnacentral:rRNA from 1 species